CUGAGAGCUGGAGGUGAUUGGAAAUCCGCGAGGGAGGUCGUCCAGCUGCCGACAGUGUAAAGGCCAAGGGCAUCAACCUGCCCACACGUGGAUUUUAAAGGAAGGCCCCGGGUUUGCUGUGAGCAGACAGACCUGGCUCUCCACCUCCCCUGGCCCCGGCCUGUGCGCUGACGGAGCUGGUGACCGGCCCCUUCCAGCUGCAGGGCCUCCCCGGCCCCUCCACAGGUGCAACAGGCUCCCCUGGGAAACACCUCCCGCUCCACGCCCCUUCAAUGCUCAACUCCAGCAUCACCUCCACGUAGCUCUCCCCUUAGCAAGCUGCUUACUUCUGCCACGGACCUACCGCACUGGGGGCUUUUUUCUUUGCCCAAGUGAAAUCACGGACUCCUCUUCGUAUCCAGUUCCUGCCAGCACCCUAUGGCCAAGCUGUGAGGGGCAACAAGACUUAACAGAAGGCUUGGGAAACGGAAGGAAAUUAUGGAGGGGAAAAGAAAAAAGAAUCUUCAUCCGAAAAUUACCCAAAUCUAAACUCCUCGAGGGAAAGGAUCAUGCCCAAUUCACCCUUUUAUCCCCA